CGAGCGGCACCUGCUCCACCUGAGGACCUGGGUCCCCGCCCUGCUCGGGGAUACCGGGCCGGAGCCAGGCUGGAGGGCUCAGGACCCUGCGGCCGAUCGGUGCCACCCACCUCCGCGCUCCCACUCGCGAAGACGGCGCCGAAGCAGGGACUGCACUUGAACCCUGCCUGAUGCGGCGACUGAAGAGAAAUGAGACAAGUCAAUGACCAGUUGAACGUGAUAAGGGAGAGAGAGGAGGCAAUGACUUCCUGCGGCCAUCCGUCAAAUUAGCAGCAAGGUGGAGAUUUGCAGGUAGGGGAGGAGGCCCUUGUGAGUUGGUCAAAACAGAUUCUCCACAGUGUCCAGCCAAGAGGCAGGCAGUUGACACCAGGCAGUUACCAAGAGGAGAGCAGAUGAGAGUCAGUUCCAGAAGCCAAGUGGCAUUUCCACUGCGGUGCAUCACUGACCCAGGGUCCACGUCCAGCUGUUAAAUGUGCAGUCAUGAAAUAGCCAUGGUGGACCUAUCUGUCCCAAGGGACAUUUCCCUCCUCAUGUCCCCGUUUUCAGAAAGUGUCUUCCUGAUUGUAUCUCAUUUCUAAGCUUUAGUAAAACCCAUGCUUUUUUUUUUUUUUUUCUUUUUCAAAGGUGAGAACCAGAACAGUCUACCAGAUCUUUUUUUCAGGGCAUGACUGACACAGUAUCACUCAAACAAAAUUACAUUCCCACCUCAACUGGUUACUCUGGCAAUGACAACUGUCCACGUGCCAGUGACUCACAUCAUCCCUCCACUCAAAAAUAUUGAGUGUAUCAUUACGGUUUCUUGCAACAAAAGUGGACAAAUCCAAAGAUUUUCUUUCUCUCUAUUCUUCCUUUUAUCACCAGCACAAUGAGCACAGGGACCACGUUUCCACUGCACAGCAGUGGGAAGGCCCCAGUCCUUUGAGCUCUCUGGCCAACUAACAGCCUGACACCGUAAACCCGAGGAUGAGCUACAAUUUACUGUGCACUUAUCACAUCUGUGUGCCUUUGGUCCUCUGUAGCAGAUGCAUUUGCCCGGACAAGGCCUUACAACACUUGUCUGCAGAGAGCUUCGUUCUGGAAGGCUCUGCCGUGACCACCUGUGUGACGUCAUCUCCCAUCCACCACGUCCCGCCCUCUGCAGUGGGAGGCAUCUUUGCUCUGAGACCGCUGGACCUUCACACAGACCUCUACCGCCACACCAGUCUCCCGCAUCACAGCUCUGUGUGGGUGUACCUGACCUUGUUCGCGAGGAACAAUGGCUUAUUUUUAUAAAUCAAAGCCCUCGCAGGCUGCCUGUGCAGAGGAGAUGCCCAGUAAAUAUUUGCUGAAUGAAGAAAUGUCCCUUUGGUCAUGAUUUCCUGCCUAUCAUUUCUGUGUCCACAGUAAGAAGUUGGAUGUCAUUUUCCUGACCCAGCAGCUCUGGGCCAAGGGGAAUUCUCAUUGUAUCUAGAGAAGGCAUUUGGAAACCUCUCCUUGCCCCUCCCACUGGGCUGAUUCUGAUUGUGAUCUGAGUGCAAAGAGGGGCCCCCUUGUCACGCAGGGCAAGGCUCCAGAUGGACUCGCCAGGGCCUCUAGGAAUCCAGGGAGUAAAUUCCAAGGGUUCGAGAUUGAGUGGGGCCCCAGGGCUGGUGCAAACCCAACUAACUGGCCACAUGAAAAUCAGUGCAGAUAAGCCCGGAGGCAUCUCAGAGAUGCCAUCAGUACUUAACCACUCUGCUAUCUUGGUAGUUUUUAAUCACAGGGUGACAGCAGAAACCAGCUCUGAGAGUCAACCCAGGACUGCAUAAAUAGCCCCAAAUGAGCUGUAAUCCCAUGGGGGAAUCCAGAGCUGUGGAUUCAAUGGGAAGGCUGGUUUGAAUGACUUUCAGGGCUUUGCCUGCAGUGCUACUUGAACAUUUCACUGCCAAGGAAGAUCUAAUCCCCCGUGAAGAGCUGGGGCUAGAAGGAAUUGAAGGGGCAGGCCGAGUCCCCGCAAUGUUAGACUUCAAACAAACAAACAGAAACCAAGCCCAGAGUCCUGAAAAGGAAAGUUAGUCUUCCCUGCUGGGUAGAAAUGGAAAUGAACCCAACAGCCUGAAGCAUAAGAAACGGGGAGCUGGCACUGGAACAUGAACUCGUGUUCAACCACGUUCCCAAUGGGUGGGAAGGAGCAAAGAGUCAGGAGGGCUUGAAGAGGGGUCAGCUCACGAAAGAGGGGCAGAAAACGGGGUGGCAUUAGCUUUUAGUAAGGGCAGCCUAGUGGGGGGCCGCUCACGCUCAUUUCCCAUGUCAGCCCCUUGAGCUAGCCUAGCUAUUAUUCAACAGAGGGCAAAGAGAAGCUCAUGCAGGCUCAAUGACUGGCCCGAGAUCUAGCCAGGAAGGAAACCUACGUCGAAAAUGACACGAAGAGUCUGAAAAUAUUUCAUGCACAGUUCAGAACACAAGAUGACCAAUGCUGUUCGAUUUGUCAGGUAUUUAAAAUAGUCAGGACUCGUCGUGACUCGACACUGAAUGCGCCUCUGUAAGCUCCCUGUGUUGUUGGGUAGGUACUGUCACUGUGGGAGAAAGAAGGGGACAGGGGUCUUUUAGAGGACUGCAUUUAAAGAAGCCUAACUUUUGGCAGUUCUCCAAAUUUGGAUUUAGCAGGGUGUUUGGCUGAAAAAGGAAGAAGGAACGCAAAGCAAGAGGGAAAGAUAAGUUAAGAAACAAGGGUGGGGAGCCUGGGAUUUAGCUGUUCCACUUCCUAAUGUUGGUUAGGACCAAAGAAACCCACUCAAAUGCCUAGGGAUCGGCAGGCACUGCCCUACUUUCCAUGCAGUGCGAAGCAGGAAGGCUUAGGUUUGUCACGAGAAAGCCUGCUGUUACCGCCCAAAGACCAGAACAAAAAAAUUGGGAGGAGACUCCCAACGUGAAAGCUGUGAUUUGCAAAGAAGCAUUGCUAGUCUCAUGACUGGUGUGUCUCAAGUGUCACAAUUGUGUAACUACUGAUAUUCAAAAUGAACCUUGACUCCAUCACCUAGGAUUAUGAAGAUAAUGCAGGGUGGUUUUAGGAAAAGGGUACAGGAAGGAUAAUGCUCACUGAGAGCAGGGAAGAAAGAAACCAGGACCGGAAUAGCAUAUGUGGAUAUUAGUUUUGGCUCUUCCACUAGCUUUGCCUCCACCAGUUUGCACUUCUGCACUAACUUUGCCUCCUGUUUUCUCCUCGGUGUCACAAGGGAGCUGUGCUAGACACCAUGGAAGCGAACUCCCAGCUCCAGAGACUUUGGGAGGCCAAGAGGUAGGCAAUGGAAUGUGAUUUCAAGCUGUUGGGUUAAAAAGAUAGUGAGUCAGAAACCAAUCCAAGAACUGUAUUGCUAUGCAUUUCAAACUCUCUAAUUUGGCUUCUACUAAGUGAAAGAGAAAGAAGAAGACGAAACUUUCAGGAGGGAAACAGAAAUAAGGAAAAUCACAAAUACUCAAACAGGUUUUUAAAAACAGCAAAUAUCUGGGCAGGCAUUUGGAAAAGUGGUUAAUAUGCUGGUUAGGAUGCGCCAUCCCACGUCAGAGUGUCUGGGUCCAAUCCCUGGCGCUGGCUGCCUCCAGCUUCCUGCUAAUGUAGACCCUGGGAGACAGCUGUGACAGCUCAAGUGGCUGUGCUCCUGCUACCGUGCACGUGGGAGACCUGGAUUGAGUUCCAGCUCGGGGCUGUGGGCCCCAGGCAUUGCAGCCAUCUGCGGAAUGAAUCAGCCUGAUGGCCAUGCUCUGUCAUUCAAAUAAAAAAGCAAAGAGUUCAAACAACAACAGCAAAUAAUAUCCUUUUAACAAGCUAAACAUCAAAGCUAGGCAUUUUGAGUUUACCGAAAGAGCUCUUUCGCUUGGCAGUGUUGUGCUGUGGAAAGAAUACAGGCAAGUUCUGAAUCCAAAGGAGAUGUGUGUGAAUCACAGCUUCAUCACCGUGCGAGAAACAACCCACGUCGAUCCCGUGAUCUCUCUGAAUCUCAGUUUCCUCGUGUAGAAAAGGGGAAAGACUGCCAGCAAGAGCAGCAAUGGCUCUGCUUACUGAUACCUUCCGUGCUGGACUCCAUGUUGUAUGUCUCGAUCUACCCACAAUUGUAGGAAUUAGACAUUAUUAAACCCGUUUCUCAGAUAAGGACAUUGAGGGUCCCUAAAUCGAAAGAACAGUUAGUAGGGGCAGACGUGGAAUUCAACUCAAUUUAUGACAGCUCUGAAGCUUGAUCUACCCUGUUAUAUUACCUCAAAGGAUAACAGUAUAGCUCCAAUCAGGUAAUAUGUUAAAAGGUUUUGUGAAUGUCCUAUUCAAUAUUCAUUAUUAAUACUACAAUAACAGCAAUAAUGCAGUAAUAACAACAGUAAUACUGGACUUCUAAGUGCUGAAAAUCAGAGUAUCCAAACAGGAAAUACGAUUAAUCUUAUUUGAACUUGCCAUCAAAUAGAGUAGAUGACGUUACCAGGCUAAUCAGACCCAGCGAGCUCCCCCCAUCAGUGUUCACCAUUGAAUGUCUAAGCUUCUGGGCUCUGCAAAAAGUCAGCCUGAGCGGAGAUGCUAACCUGAGAAACACUGCAGAGAAGACAUAGAACAAAGCGAAACCUCUUUGUCACCGAAAGUGCCAUCUGGCCAAGCAUAUCGGAAAAUAACCAGAGAUGAUCAACUGGCAAGAUUUACCUCAUUAAAAAAAAAAUCAAGCAAAAACACUCAAUCAUGUACUGGGGCAGUAAUUUUAGAUUUUGGUCAGAUUAAAAAAGGGGGCAAACUAUCCCUAUGAGUCGUCAAGUCUGACCGAGAAUGCCUUUGGCCAUUUAGAACUGGAAUGUAUAAACUUGACAUUGAACCUCAAUGUGGAGGGAUGGGGCGUAGCUCCUCUGAAAGAGGAUGUGAGAAACCAGACUCAUGCAGGUGGCAGCAUCGGCCCGAGUCUCGGUCCCACUGAGGCACUGACGCCCAUCUGAGGAGCCUGCUGUGCUCCCUAUGCGUUACUCUUUACUUUCUAAGUUCCUUUAAAAAGUCCUGACACUUUCCAAACCUGUUAGAGGUAGAAAGAGACUGGUAAGCGUGAAAGGGCUCUUGGAACUCAUCUGGCCAAAUGUUCUCAUUUCACAGGUGAGAAAACAAAGAUUUGAAUGUAGAGUCUGAAGGCCAGCAAGCUUGGUCAGUGGCACCAGCAGAACAGGAAUCCUGGCUUCCCAAAGAAUGUUCUAGCAGAAGACACCACCCAUCCUGUCCCGCAUGCACGGUUCUCACACUGUGUUACUCUGAUGCAUGUAAACUUGCAUAUUGCAUCUGUAUGCACCAAGAUAUUAUUAUGAAUCAGUCACCUUGAAAACACUCCGUACACAUCAACUCACGGCACGGAGGAGGUCAGUACUAUCACUAUCCUUAUCUCACAAAGACAGAGAGGGUAAGUGAUUUGCCUGAGGUCACACAGCUCACCAGUGGUAGUGCCAGGAUUUAAAUGCAGGUCACCUAAGUGUUCAUGUUCUUCUCUCAUCCAAGGAGGUAUGGAGAUGAUUAGUGGUUGUCUCUAGAGAGGAGAGAUGAUGGGCUGGGCUGGGAAGAUUUCUGCUUUCUACCAAAUCCUCACAGCCUGUUUACACUUAAAAAAAAAAAAAGAGAGAGAGAGAGAGAGAAGAUGAUUUCUUCACUUAUUUGAAAGAAUUACAGAGAGAGAGAAGAGAGAAAGAGACAGAGAGAGGGACCUUGUCGCUCCCCCUCUUCUCGGAGGAACGACACAGGACCCUGCGCUGUUCUUUCGUCUGCUCGGCCCUCCCCGGGUUUGCUGCUGGUUCUUCCCGGGUUGGCUACCGUCCCUCCACCUCCGUGGAGGGGCGGGCCCCCCCUGCCACAUUCCCCACUUCCGCGGGGGAGUGGCACACCGCCGGCUGGCUCUCUCGGGGGCUGCUCAGAUGUUCCUCAGGUGUUCCCCUUAGAUGUUCCUGGUGCAUGUUGUCUCUCUCCUCCUUUAUAGUCCUCUUCCACCAAUCCCAACUCUGCUACCCACACGCCGAGUACGCUGCUCUCCUCCAAUCAGGAGCAGGAUCAGCUCCUGCAGGUCAUCACUCAAGUUGGCAAGAGGCAGCUGCAUAGAAAUUGUUUACUCCUCUCCCAGCGCCAUAUUGUGGGAGAGCAAAUGCAUAGAAUAAGUCUUAAUUCCAGUAACUUAGUCUAGUCCGAGUUGCUCCCCACAGGACCUUCCAUCUGCUGGUUUACUCCCUAAAUGUCCACAAUGGCUAGGACUGUGUCAGACUGAAGCUAGGAGCCCAGAGAUCUAUCCAUGUCUCCCACAUGGAUGUAGGGGCCCAAGAACUUGGGCCAUCUUCCACUGCUUUCCCAGGCACAUUAGCAGGGAGCUGGAUCAGAAGUGGAGCAGCCAGGACUCAAACCAUCACCCAUACGAGAUGCCAGCACUGCAGGCUGCAGCUUUAACCUGCUGCACCACAGCGCCAGUCCCAUUUACACUCUUACCAUCAUCAUAGGUCAUUCAAUGGACAGUCACUAUUAUGAAUAUUUUUUUGUUUUGUUCUUAAAGAUAUUUAUUGGAAAGAGUGAUAGAAAGAGAAGGAAAGACAGAGAGAUCUUCUAUUGGCUGGUUCACUUUCUGAAUACCUACAACAUCUAGGACUGGGCCAGGCUGAAACUAGGAGCCAGGAAUCCCAUCCAGGGGGCAGGAGCCCAUGCAUCUGAGCCAUCAGCUGCUGCCUCCCAGAAUGUAUUAGCAGGAAGCAGGAUAGUAAGUAGAGUGGCUGGGACUCUAACCUGCACUCUGAUAUGGGAUGAAGGUGUCGCAAGCAGCAGCUUAACCCACUGCACCAC